AUUGAACGCUGGCGGCAGGCCUAACACAUGCAAGUCGAACGAGUGGCGGACGGGUGAGUAAUGUCUGGGAAACUGCCUGAUGGAGGGGGAUAACUACUGGAAACGGUAGCUAAUACCGCAUACCAUCAGAUGUGCUCAGAGGGGCUUGGCUAGUUGGUGGGGUAAAGGCCCACCAAGGCGAAGAUCCCUAGCUGGUCUGAGAGGAUGACCAGCCACACUGGAACUGAGACACGGUCCAGACGCCUACGGUAGGCAGCAGUGGGGAAUAUUGUACAAUGGGCGCAAGCCUGAUGCAGCCAUGCCGCGUGUAUGAAUAAGGCCUUCGGGUUGUAAAGUACUUUCAGCGGGGAGGCGUUACCCGCAGAAGAAGCACCGGCUAACUCCGUGCCAGCAGCCGCGGUAAUAC
rnacentral:rRNA from 1 species